rnacentral:rRNA from 1 species
CAAUAGCGUAUAUUAAAGUUGUUGCGGUUAAAAAGCUCGUAGUUGGAUUUCUGCCGAGGACGACCGGUCCGCCCUCUGGGUGUGUAUCUGGUUUGGCCUGGGCAUCUUCUUGGAGAACGUAGCUGCACUUGACUGUGUGGUGCGGUGUCCAGGACUUUUACUUUGAGGAAAUUAGAGUGUUUCAAGCAGGCUCACGCCUUGAAUACAUUAGCAUGGAAUAAUAAGAUAGGACCUUGGUUCUAUUUUGUUGGUUUCUAGAGCUGAGGUAAUGAUUAAUAGGGAUAGUUGGGGGCAUUCGUAUUUAACUGUCAGAGGUAAAAUUCUUGGAUUUGUUAAAGACGGACUACUGCGAAAGCAUUUGCCAAGGAUGUUUUCAUUGA